rnacentral:rRNA from 1 species
CCUACGGGAGGCUGCAGUGGGGAAUAUUGGACAAUGGGGGCAACCCUAUCCAGCCAUGCCGCGUGUGUGAAGAAGGCCCUCGGGUUGUAAAGCACUUUCAGUGAGGAAGAACGCCUGGUGGUUAAUACCCAUCAGGAAAGACAUCACUCACAGAAGAAGCACCGGCUAACUCCGUGCCAGCAGCCGCGGUAAUACGGAGGGUGCGAGCGUUAAUCGGAAUUACUGGGCGUAAAGCGCGCGUAGGUGGCUUGAUAAGCCGGUUGUGAAAGCCCCGGGCUCAACCUGGGAACGGCAUCCGGAACUGUCAAGCUAGAGUGCAGGAGAGGAAGGUAGAAUUCCCGGUGUAGCGGUGAAAUGCGUAGAGAUCGGGAGGAAUACCAGUGGCGAAGGCGGCCUUCUGGACUGACACUGACACUGAGGUGCGAAAGCGUGGGUAGCAAACAGGAUUAGAUACCCUUGUAGUC